AGGACAUAAAAUUAUAUGUACAUUAAUAGUACACAGAGUAUGUGGAUUUGUUAUACAGUAAUAGUCGUCGCUCACCUUUGAUUGGCUGUGAGAGUGAUGUUGCCAUUGAUCACCUGACCCGAGUUAACCAGUACAGGCCGAGCACAUUAAGAGGCUGUGGUUUGGUCAGAGAUAAGUGACUCACUGAGAUCCACAGAACGCCACAUCAAACCAGAAUGCUAGCCCGUGCAUUAUGCCAGUGGACCAGAGGGUAAAGGUCAGAGGGAUGGAGAUUCUGUGGGAGGGGCAAUAUGACACUACAUGUCCUAUAGACUUGCACACACACGUGUCACAAUAGUAUACAAUACAACAAGUAUUGAUUAAUAGCUACUAUUACUAGUGAGUUGCUUACUUGUGCAGAUCAGUUUCGUUGGUUGUCAGGAAGUCAGUAGUGUGAGCCACAGGCUUGGCCAUCACCAUGCGCACAUCAAACAUAUCCUGCAAACACACAAAAUUCAUACAGAAUGCUCACCAGAACUGGUUGUCUGAAGUAUUCCUCCAGAGCUGUGGAGGAGAGGGACGUAAGGUUGACGCCAUGGAAACUAGUCUGAGUCCUGGGAGGAGGAGGGAGGGACAGAGCUUUCAGAAAAUCAGAAAUCAAUGUGAUUGGACAAACGGAAAUAAAGUUAUCGCCGUUCAAAGACCCUUCAUUUAACGCUGAGUACUAGAGGUUGGCUCUGUAACUAGAGUUCUGGUAGUCCAAUAUAAACUAUGUCAUGCUCAGAGCUCACCAGAAGGUUGCCUUGUUGUACUGCUCUAUAUAGAGCGCCUCGUCAGUGAAUGGUGCCAGGUACAGAACACCUUUAGAGGGAAACAUGUUCCCGUCUGGUUUCAGCCAUUUCUUGGCAUGCAGGAAUGUCAACCUAUAACACACAAAGAGAAGCAAGUGUCAUCAUUCUGUGUACUGUACUUCAACAGUUGAGAGUGCAGUCAACCAUGAUCACCUUAUUCACACACAGUGUGUGUACUUUGCUAAUGGACUAAUCAGUGGUCAUUGGUCAUGAUUGGCUGCUGUUAGCUAUCAAUCAAAACAGGCUCAUUUCGGAGAAGAUAAAAAGAUGAUACAUGUCC